rnacentral:rRNA from 1 species
GAUGAACGCUGGCGGCGUGCCUAAUACAUGCAAGUCGAGCGAACGGACGAGAAGCUUGCUUCUCUGAUGUUAGCGGCGGACGGGUGAGUAACACGUGGAUAACCUACCUAUAAGACUGGGAUAACUUCGGGAAACCGGAGCUAAUACCGGAUGAUAUUUUGAACCGCAUGGUUCAAAAGUGAAAGACGGUCUUGCUGUCACUUAUAGAUGGAUCCGCGCUGCAUUAGCUAGUUGGUAAGGUAACGGCUUACCAAGGCAACGAUGCAUAGCCGACCUGAGAGGGUGAUCGGCCACACUGGAACUGAGACACGGUCCAGACUCCUACGGGAGGCAGCAGUAGGGAAUCUUCCGCAAUGGGCGAGAGCCUGACGGAGCAACGCCGCGUGAGUGAUGAAGGUCUUCGGAUCGUAAAGCUCUGUUAUUAGGGGAGAACAUAUGUGUAAGUAACUGUGCACAUCUUGACGGUACCUAAUCAGAAAGCCCCGGCUAACUACGUG